UACGUAGGUGGCAAGCGUUAUCCGGAUUUACUGGGUGUAAAGGGCGUGUAGGCGGGGACGCAAGUCAGAUGUGAAAACCACGGGCUCAACCUGUGGCCUGCAUUUGAAACUGUGUUUCUUGAGUACUGGAGAGGCAGACGGAAUUCCUAGUGUAGCGGUGAAAUGCGUAGAUAUUAGGAGGAACACCAGUGGCGAAGGCGGUCUGCUGUACAGCAACUGACGCUGAGGCGCGAAAGCGUGGGGAGCAAACAGG
rnacentral:rRNA from 1 species